GGAAGUUGAGAAACUGUUUCUUAACUUUUAACUAAAAAAACUAAGAACCGGUUCUUAAAUAAAGACUUUAAAAACUGGUUUUUAAUCUUUUUAGUUAAAAGUUAAGAAACAAUUUUUUAACUUCC
rfam:Brassica napus, WGS project CCCW01000000 data, contig: 15414